rnacentral:rRNA from 1 species
CGAAAACGAAUUCUCUCUUGAGUGGAUCCUGAGUACGACGGAGCACGUGAAAUUCCGUCGGAAUCUGGGAGGACCAUCUCCUAAGGCUAAAUACUCUCUAGUGACCGAUAGUGAACCAGUACCGUGAGGGAAAGGUGAAAAGUACCCCGGAAGGGGAGUGAAAGAGAACUUGAAACCGUGUGCUUACAAGUAGUCAGAGCCCGUUAAUGGGUGAUGGCGUGCCUUUUGUAGAAUGAACCGGCGAGUUACGAUCUGAUGCAAGGUUAAGCAGAAAAUGUGGAGCCGUAGCGAAAGCGAGUCUGAAUAGGGCGAAUGAGUAUUUGGUCGUAGACCCGAAACCAGGUGAUCUACCCUUGGUCAGGUUGAAGUUCAGGUAACACUGAAUGGAGGACCGAACCGACUUACGUUGAAAAGUGAGCGGAUGAACUGAGGGUAGCGGAGAAAUUCCAAUCGAACUUGGAGAUAGCUGGUUCUCUCCGAAAUAGCUUUAGGGCUAGCCUCAAGUGAUGAUUAUUGGAGGUAGAGCACUGUUUGGACGAGGGGCCCCUCUCGGGUUACCGAAUUCAGACAAACUCCGAAUGCCAAAUAAUUUAACUUGGGAGUCAGAAUGUGGGUGAUAAGGUCCAUAUUCGAAAGGGAAACAGCCCAGACCACCAGCUAAGGUCCCAAAAUAUAUGUUAAGUGGAAAAGGAUGUGGCGUUGCCCAGACAACUAGGAUGUUGGCUUAGAAGCAGCCA